CUUAAUUAUAACCAGAUGAGAAGAAACUGAAGGAUUUCUAAACACCGUUGAAGAGAUUCUGGAGGUGAUCCAAUGUAGAAAUCCAGAAGGACUCAACUGCUACACAAAAAUAAGUGAAAAAGGACCUCUGGGCUGCCUGAGAGCAUCAGGAACCAAUUAGCCCAGGAGGUGGACAUCUAAAACCAGAUGGCACCAAGGACUCGCUUUGGAUAUUUCUCACUAAGCACACCUGAAAUUGUCAUCUGGAAAAUUCUCCCACACAUGGAAUGUACAAGUUGUACUGAAUUUUAAAGAUUUACAAGAAGCAAGU
rnacentral:lncRNA from 1 species